ACGCACGCUGGCGGCGUGCCUAAUACAUGCACGUAGAACGCUGAAGGAGGAGCUUGCUCUUCUGGAUGAGUUGCGAACGGGUGAGUAACGCGUAGGUAACCUGCCUGGUAGCGGGGGAUAACUAUUGGAAACGAUAGCUAAUACCGCAUAACAGUAGAUGUUGCAUGACAUUUGCUUAAAAGGUGCAAUUGCACCACUACCAGAUGGACCUGCGUUGUAUUAGCUAGUUGGUGGGGUAACGGCUCACCAAGGCGACGAUACAUAGCCGACCUGAGAGGGUGAUCGGCCACACUGGGACUGAGACACGGCCCAGACUCCUACGGGAGGCAGCAGUAGGGAAUCUUCGGCAAUGGACGGAAGUCUGACCGAGCAACGCCGCGUGAGUGAAGAAGGUUUUCGGAUCGUAAAGCUCUGUUGUAAGAGAAGAACGAGUGUGAGAGUGGAAAGUUCACACUGUGACGGUAUCUUACCAGAAAGGGACGGCUAACUACGUG
rnacentral:rRNA from 1 species